CAAGAAUAUUUAUGUAUAGCCUAGGAAAGAAAUAUGUAAUAUUUGCGGCAAGUUGGUAACAGAUGUAAACAAACACAUGAAGAGACACCUGGAAAGAUGACAUGUACCGAGUGCAAUACAUUUAGAUGCUCUCAGAGGCAAGAAUUGAUACACCAUUUGGAGUGUGUUCACCAACAGAGUGCAAAGAAAUGACAUUUAAUUCUGUGGAAGAGUUCUUUCUGUGGAAGCAACAGAUGAUGGAAGCUGAAGAGAAGGUUUCCUUCAUAAGACCAAGGGGAAAACAGAAAUGUGAUUAUUUUGUUUGCCACCGUUCUGGAUAUGCUCACAAAACAGCUUCAGGCAGAAGGUUACGGGAACCUUGGUGGCACCUGACCUGCCUUUUUGAUAGUCAAAAAUGUGUCAUCUAACAUGGUUAAUGUCAAGUUCUACAGGACACACACAGGACACAGUCUCUCUGUGGGUAGCCUACAUCUGACCACAGCUGACAGGGCAAUGGUUGCUGAAUUAAUUGCACAAGGUGUUCCUGAUACUACAAUUUUGAAGAAAGUGAGAGAGAGCA